CAAGGGCAGAAAAUGCUUGUUGGAGUUGUGUGCAGACCACCAAACAGCAGUAGUGAGGUUGGGGACAGCAGCAAACAGGAAAUUAGGGCUGCAUGUAGCAAAGGUACAGCAGCUAUCAUGGUUAUUGAGAUUAGU